rnacentral:lncRNA from 1 species
GAGUUUGUAUGUGUCAGGCAAGUAUUCUAUUGUUAUGGACAUGUGCAUGUUUGAUUUAAUUUUCAUGGAAAUAUAUGGUAAGUUUAAUUCUUGUUACAUGAACUUACUAAGUACUAAGUGUUUAUCCCGUUUUACUUUUCCCUAUUUUAUAAUGUUCAGAAGCUCGGGAGGUCGAAGAUAGGUCAGAGCCACAUCACACUAUCAACCACCACAUUUUGUUAUAUAAAAAUGUUUCAUUUUGAGUUAAUGGCAUGUAUAG